GCUCUGCUAAGGCCAUGACCUCGUGUGUCCAGUUCUGAUAAAGCAGAUAUUCACUCUGAAGUACCAAGAAGGAAACAGGGGCGGCAGGGCAGAACCUUGGCCUUUCAACUUCAAGUUCAUUCAUAAACUUCUCCCUCUGCCACUGGCGCUUCCUUGACCUUGGACGGAACGUGACUGCUUUGUUAUUGGGCAAGAGGAGGAAUCCUCCCACCGUGCCAACCUCACCCCCUUCUCCCUUCCCUGAGGAGGAGCUGAGAGUGAACGAGAUGGAGCCUGCCCAGAGAUGGAGUUUUGGGAUGUGAGGAGUUGUAACUCAGAAGAGUCUUGCAUCAACCUCCUAUAUGCUUCAGCUAUGAUGUGUGUCGUUCUACUGCCAACUCAACGAGCAGAACUAAACACAGGGCUCCACCAGCCACAGAGGAGCUGGAGGCUGGAAGCCCAAUCUGCCACGCUCCACAGAG
rnacentral:lncRNA from 1 species